GGCCUAACACAUGCAAGUCGAGCGGAAACGACACUAACAAUCCUUCGGGUGCGUUAAUGGGCGUCGAGCGGCGGACGGGUGAGUAAUGCCUAGGAAAUUGCCUUGAUGUGGGGGAUAACCAUUGGAAACGAUGGCUAAUACCGCAUAAUGCCUACGGGCCAAAGAGGGGGAUCUUCGGACCUCUCGCGUCAAGAUAUGCCUAGGUGGGAUUAGCUAGUUGGUGAGGUAAUGGCUCACCAAGGCGACGAUCCCUAGCUGGUCUGAGAGGAUGAUCAGCCACACUGGAACUGAGACACGGUCCAGACUCCUACGGGAGGCAGCAGUGGGGAAUAUUGCACAAUGGGCGAAAGCCUGAUGCAGCCAUGCCGCGUGUAUGAAGAAGGCCUUCGGGUUGUAAAGUACUUUCAGUUGUGAGGAAGGGGGUAACGUUAAUAGCGGUAUCUCUUGACGUUAGCAACAGAAGAAGCACCGGCUAACUCCGUGCCAGCAGCCGCGGUAAUACGGAGGGUGCGAGCGUUAAUCGGAAUUACUGGGCGUAAAGCGCAUGCAGGUGGUUCAUUAAGUCAGAUGUGAAAGCCCGGGGCUCAACCUCGGAACUGCAUUUGAAACUGGUGAACUAGAGUGCUGUAGAGGGGGGUAGAAUUUCAGGUGUAGCGGUGAAAUGCGUAGAGAUCUGAAGGAAUACCAGUGGCGAA
rnacentral:rRNA from 1 species